AGUAGUUGAAGGAUGAUGGCGGGACAUGUUUUUUUAACCCUUGUCUUUACAAAUGGGGUCCAACCAACCCCACACCCGUAAAACUUGUAUAAUUUGCCACAGUCCUCUACGUUUGCCUCAGUCCUCGCACACACAAGGGUUAAGAACUUAUCGUGUGAGCAAUCUUAUUCGCAAAUUACUUUAAUUGUGUUUCUUAUUUAAUGGAAACACCACAAUUGCAAAAUUGGGUUUUUUCAACAUUUUCAGAAUACAGGCACACAUUCGCAAAUGAAACGCAACACCUAUUAUGUCCAUCUACCGCCUCUUCUAACCAAUUCCACGUAUUGUGUCAAAUGAAUAAUAUAUAUAUAAAACAAUAGACAAUAAUUUGAUUAAAUUGUGUUGAAUUAUAUGGAAAGACUUGCUUCUGGGAAGCACACCAUUGAACUCUGAUCUGCCAGAAAGUGAUUACAUAAAAAAACAUAAUCACUUCUCUUGAAAUACAAAGCGUUCUUUGUGGAGUUACAAUAAUUAAAUUUUUAACAUCCGACAACCUGGAUUGUUCGCUUGAUUUUCUCUCAAUCUGUGCAGUCUGAAUGAGGAAAACUAAAUGUCUAAGUGAAUCUCGCAGAGUACUCAUCGACGAAAUGACCUGAGAGAGGCUAAAAAACUUUUUUUUAAAAAAGCACAUCUGAGCUGCCACAGAGCGCCGGAGAUCUUUUCUCCCUUUCCCCAUUCGAUUCAAGAAGUUUUCAUCUAGCCUCCUUGAACAAGUGUUCAGCUUUCCAGCUUCUUCACCCCCUCUAAGAAGAGCCCAUGCUCCAUCUUGUGAAAGCGUACACGCAAACACACAGGGACACACAGGACACAAAGACUCACUUCCAUGAACACACAGUCAGUGGGAACAAUAGACGUAGAGGGGACACCUGCUGGUCUAACACACCCCGUCCUCCUCCCUCCAUCCUUUCUAUUAAGAUUCUCUGUGGGUAGUUUAGCCAUGCAUGUCGUGGUGAAAUCCCGUGAAUGAUAAUGAACUGGGAAAAGUGGAGAGUUUUUGUGUGUGAAUGGACCGAGAAGAGGUGGCUUGUUGAAUCAGUCCCUCCAUCCCCAGCAUUCCAUCCAUCCAUCCGGUCCUCCUCCGUUACCUCACCGCCUCCUCUUCCUCCUCCUCCUCCUUGUCGGUGGUGUGUCGGCUGGAGGGACGGCCCCCGUGCUCUGACACAACUCACACGCAGACACACACCUCCGCGAUGUGUCACUACCCAUUCCACCUGCCUCUUCCCGUCAUUCCCCGCUCACCGCUCUGUCUGCCCACACUUGCUGCUCUUCCCUCCCUCGGUUUUUAACCCUUAUUUAUUCAUUUCAUUUAUUCUGUCCUGAGUCCUUCCUUUCACUCUUCCUUGCCCUCCAUCACCCCCAUCACCACCACCACACACACUAUACACGCCAUGUGUCACCACCACAGAGAAGAAAGAAACAUGCUCCAGUCGACAAGUGAAAGAGACGAAGAGGAAGAAGACAGCAAAGUGUGGAGCGCGUGCGGAGCCCGGCGACGCCACCGUCCGCCUCCAGCCGGAGCCUCCUUUGAUGGAAUAUCCCGGACGGCGGAGCGCGAAAGGAGGGAGCAGAAGAAAAGAGAGGAGAGGAGAAGAUUAACGGGGCUGAGAAAACGGGACAGGCAGCGAUCGCCUCGAGAGGGUACGAAGACUCACAAUGAAAGAAAAAAAUAUAUAUUUAUGACGUUCUCUUGCCAAUCAGGUCUCUUUAACAACUUCGGCGCUUUCUUCUGUCGCUUUCGGCGUUCUCCAUUCGGGUGUUCAUCUCCCGCUCUGCAGCUGCGGCUCCAGUUUUGUCCACAGGCUCUGUUUGGGACUUUGACUAAUUGUGAAGCCAUUUCCAGGACUUGGGCGAAGACGAGCCUUUCCUCCUCCUCCUCCUCCUCAACCUCCCCACUAUUCAUUUUUUCAUUCUAAUUAAUUCCUCCCUGUGCAGACCCUCAAAGAAUCCCGCUGUCUUUCACUUUCUGUAAGUCUAACUAAUUCUCCCUUCAACCCCAUGUGCUGUAUUCUCCCGGCUCCCCCCAUCUGUCUGCCUUUGAGAGGCAAAUAAUUGGACGUGGAGAUUGGCUUUUCUCUGCCGAAGCCAGAGGACAGAGGCACAAUUACACACACGCACACACACACACACACACACACCUGGAGCGGAGUAUGUGUGCAGUGGUGCUCUGUGUUGUGUAUUUUAUCUCAACGCUAGAGUUGAAAGUUGCUUCAGAAAUGUUCUGAUGUGGUUAUGUGGGUUAUGUUCUGAAGACGAUCCAGGCGUAGUGGGUUUUCUCUGACUUUUCCAAGUUGUAUGUGGUUUAAAUAACGUUUUGUUUGUUUUGUGUGGCUAAAGAAGGUGAAAAUCAUUCUUGCAUCCAUAUUUAUGUCGUUUUCCCACUUUGACCUUUAGGUAUUUUGGCAGUUUUGUUUUGGGGUUUUUUUUGUAUCAGAAACUUUCUCACAUGCAAGCAAGAAAAUGCCAAGGGGAAUGUUUCGCACUAACUUUGAUUGUUCCAUUUUUUUCUGUUUUUUGUUCAUACUCUUCAGUAACAAAAUGUGGUUAUGCGAUAUGGAUAAAUGUUACCUAUCGUGUAUCUAAAGGUCAUGGUCUCUCAUACUGCGGGAGAGCAGGCGAAUCCAACCAGGACUGGAACCACAAUUGGUGAAAAACAGGAGAUUUUAAAUAUAUUUAUGAUAAUUUCUCUCCUUAAGUGAUCAAAAAUAGCUAAUCAAAGAAAUAUACUGAAAUUCAAUGCUUAGAUGCGUGGGUAGAAAAUGGAAAUAGAUUAGGAGGAAAUUGCAAAAUCCGGGUAAUGACUGGUCAAACCGACCGGAAGUUCUAUAUUGUAGGUAAAAUAUUGCGAUUAAAGGUUAUACAAAAAAUAUUCGCUGGUUUUGGUAAAGAAAGUACCAAUGUUUAGCUAAUUAGAAAAACAUUUUGACAUCCUCUGACAUAUUUGCCUUAUUGGUGAAAUUUCAUUUUCAUUCGCCAGCUUGUAAGGAUUUAUUUCUGCGAGUUUCCCAAGUGAACUCAUCUGUACGACUUAAAACAAUAAAGAGACUUGUUGAGGCGAUGAUGAGGAAGACGCAGCGGAGGUGUUGAAGUGGGAAAACCUGGGAUGUGUUGCCAUGCUGGCCACAUGUGGCCUGUUGGAGGAGAUUAGGACAUGAAUGGGAGGCUUUUCGCUCCGUCUCACUCGGAGGCUUGAUGCCAAGUCUCAGAGACGUGACGCAAACUCACCAAAAAGAACCAAUCAGAUUGUCCACUGUACACAUUUUCCUACACACAAUUAACAAAAUGGGGACUCUAACAGUGUUCCUGGAGUAUCCGGUAGUUUUCUCAGCACUCUGUUCAGAAUCUCAUGCCGUAUAAUUCAGUCUUUUCUUCUCUCCAUUCUCUCCACCUUCCCGCCCAACCAUACAUCUCCCUCCUCCUCUUCCUCAUCCUCCUCACGCUCAUACUCCUACUGCACAGCUCCAUCGAGUCCAGCCUCACACACACACACGCACGCAUACACACACACACUUUGCUGUGGAGCGUGCACAUGUGUGGGCACUCACCACAAGUGCAUGUGUGAGUGUGAGGAUUCAGCCGAUCGGACCGACGCAGCGGCAACUCGGAGGUCCUUGUGGAUGCGGCGCGUCAGGUAGACCAUGCCCUUCACCUGUGCCUGCUUCUGUGGUCUGAAUGGCUUCUGCCGCAGAGGAAAGAAGAAAAAACAGGACCAAGCAUCAGAAGAGGAGGUUGAUGAGGACGGGCAUCACCGGGAUGAGGAAACGGUGGUGUGACUCCAGCGCUGUUGGCUGAACUCUCUCUCUUAUGUUAAAACACUGUAACAUAAGACCAAGGUUUCAGGUCUCUGCAUAUCAGGGGUCUGGGAAUGUUCCCAUAGAGGAAGUGAAGGGGUUUCAGGUUUUAAAUACAUAUUUUUCUUCAGGUGUUUCAUGGAAAAGAUUUGGUGUUCUACUUCUUUUUCUACUCUCACAAACCAAAAGGCCAUCCAAAUUUGUUCUCAUGAUAAGACUGAUGAAAAUGAAAGCCUCUGAACUCUUUGCUCAUCCUCCAUUCCCCAAACCUGCUAUGCUCUAAUUUUCCCUGGGCAUCUGCCUGAGAACUUUGCUUUUGCUGAUAAUAUUCAAAAGAUAAAAAAGAAAAAAACAAAGGUCUGAUUCGUUUCUUGCCAGAGUGUGAAGAGACAAAGGUCUCUCAAAAUCCAUUAUUCUGUUCAGGCAUACCUCUCCUCGACGCCCCGUCUUUCCCUUCUCUACCUUUAUUGCGCCUCCUCUGCGGCGGCUGGAUUGGAACUGAAGCUCCGUGGAGCUCUGCACCUACUCACCUGCUUACUUACGUCAGAUCGACUUAGUGAAAACUUCAGCCGAGUAAGAAAGUGUAGAGCAAUUUCCAGAGUCGCCCGCUGAGGGGCCCCGAGCCCAUCUCGGAUUUUCACGCUGAGCUGACCCCGAUCUAAAGCCAAAGCAGCUGUCCAAUCAGUGGCUUAGCUGGAGUGUGAAGAAGGGAGUCAAGGGUCAGAAUGAGAAACGGGGGUUUGGGGAACAUCACUCCCUUGGUGCUGCGUCUUCUCUAAUAUCCGGACAAGUAAUUACCGAGAGGAACAACCACAAAUGCAGAUGCUUCAAUUAAUGUCCGUCCCUGUGGGAGUUGAGUCUCUCCCUGCAAAUGCCACCACAAUGCACUUCCAGCUGUCACCUGUUAGAGGGCAUGGCAACGCAAGCAUGCUAGGGUGCUCAUGUUUCUUCUUGGCUGCCACAAUGGUGCUUUCGAAGUAGAAACAAGUGGUUGACAUAUCUUCUGCCGCCAUGCCGCAGGUUUUCCCGGGCGCAUCCGGACGCCCAAAGACAAAAGGCCAGCGCACUGGUCUCAUUAGCAUGCGUGAUUAUGCAUUGCACGUCCAGUCAGGCGGUGGAGAUGUAAUUAACCUUUUCCAGCAGGAAACAGAUGCCUGGAUGUCACACACACACACACACACACGCAUACACACAUGUCUGCUGUCAGGGAAACAAAGCCGACGUCACGGUGUCACGGAAACAAAGCCCCGAAUGCGCCGCCUGGCACUUUCUGAUAAUCCCCUCACGCAUAUUUACAUUCAUGGCUUAGAAUACGCCUCGGUGACACCGCCUCCACCCUCCUACCCCCUUCACCUCUUUCCUCAGUUGGCACCCACCAACCCAAGUCACACCUUUUCUGUUCUUUUCACCUCAACCGCCCCCCCUAGUAGCCCUGCUAUCUUCCUCUUUUUCAUCAUCUCUCCUUAAACUUUCUCCUUGGUCGAAUUCAUCCAUUUAUUAUCAGUGGAUGGUACAUGGCCCUGCAUGGCAGCUCCCAUAGAUUAACCCCCACUCUUGCUUUCACAUAUCAGGGAUUUCUUCAGGCGGGUAAGAAAGUGAAGAAAGAAGCUGCUUUACGACAGAUUAAUGGACGGCCCUGAUUGCGCCUGUUGGUGCGGUUUUGCGUCUGAGCUGAAUCGACUGUUUACUCGUUCUCCCGCCACUACGAGCGGCGAAAUGAAACAAAGCGAAAGCCAUUUCACAGUGUAGAGCACCUAUUAUGAUUCAGUGUUACGGCGUGGCCCUAAUGAGAAAGAGAGAAAACGAGAGGAGGAGCAGAAGAAGGAGAGGAAGAGACAGUAAUGAAAGCGAGUUGGAUAUAUAGAGGAGGAGGGCUAACGCUAGACAGAGCAGUCAUGCUAAUUGGCUACAGUGGAUAACUUUCUUCGGCGAAAAUGAAGGUGUGUGGUUAAAAGAACGGCCUUAUCUGUCUGCAUUGCUCUCAUUUAACGCUCCCUCCAUUUCACCUCUUUUAAUGAGAGGAAUAUUCACCGCGGUAAUGGCAAAGAACUCUUGAGUUGACGGCAAUUUGUUGCUCAGGCUCGCCGCGCUCCGAGACGGGGCUGAGGCAAGGCGCUCUCCUUGCCCCAGCCUCCUGCUAUGGAUCAUGACAAUUUUCAGGGAUUGUAACUCAAGGACAAACAGCUAAAAAUAGAAGGGUGGUGCACGACUCCUGCGGUAGUGGCGAAGGGAGGAGGUGAGUACGCGGAGGGAUGGGGGCAGGAGGACCGCGAAAACGAGUUCUGUCGCAUUAGAUUUGGGUCAGAGGCGAGGGAAAAGCCGGCGAAGCGGAGAGCGUUCCAGACGGCUGAGAGAUUCAUCGCCCGCCGCUGCGUGCUCCUUUCCUCUUUUAACACCUCGCCUUUCUCCUGCACACACCUGCAGAGACAGCGCUGGGACACAUGGAAUGGACGGGGGAAGCAUUGUAAAACAUUUGAAAGAACAACAAUAAAAAGAUAUAAGGAUUAGUACCAGGUUAGACAAGGAGGAUAGAAAGGUUAGUGUGUUGUAAGGUGCACCUUGCUUGGAUCAUACCGUUUAAUUUAUGGCCUCCUGUUCAAGGCCCUCUUGUGUUGCAUUAUUCACAUGAUCCAAACAGGCAAAACUUACUCCAGAACUGCAUCAGAGGUCCUGGAAAAAAUACAAAAAACCCACCAUGUUAAAAAACAAAAUUCCAUCUAUGCGGAGCAGACGCAAUGUGUCAUCAAAGUUUAUUAUGUAAAUAGAACCAGUACAGCAAAAGAAAAACUAGUUGUCCACUACAUUGGAAAUGGCUUGUAAACGGGGCACAAUGACGGGCUGUUUGGGGUUCCAUAAUGGCAGAGCAGCAUUUGACCGGCUCAGUUGGAGGCAGAUCGUCUACAGAUGGCAAUUGGGAGAUAUUUGGUGGAAAAAAAAGCUGAAAUCACAAAUCCUAUCCAGUUUCCAUAACCUGUGGAACUUGGUGGGUUUUACUCACUGGUGUGUGACACAGGUCAGGUAUGAGUGCUAAUUAGGCUCCAUCUUCAUAAAAUGGGUUUCCUGCCCAUGUGGUUUUAAUGUAUAAUUCUGGACAGAUAGUUGGUCUCAACUAGAAACAAGCUGCGCACGAUUUAUCUGGGUCCCAUUUUUAACUUAUGAGUUAAAAAAGUUAAACCAAAUUGUGCAUCUUUUACUUUAAUAACUUGCUUUUCAUCUUCAAUGCCUCAAAAUGAGAUCAAAAUCUGUUGAUAGUGCCUUUGCUAAUAGGAAUCAAAUUGCUUAAAUGAAUAAUUCAGGACCUGCAAUGGUCAACAAACACCAUUCCUUUACCUACAGGAAAAACAGAUUUCAUAUUUCUAUGAAAUCUGUUUUUUUUUUUUUUUCUAAGGCUAAUGUUUAGGAAAACCUGAACCAAAUAUUGUGACUAUUCCUUUAAUAAAACACUUAUUUAAACUGCCAGACUUCAAUGCAAAACUCAGAUGGUUAUAUUGCCUUGUUGACUAAAACCACUUGUUUAAAUGGAUUGUUAUGAUUUCUUUUUAACUGGGGAUGUGAGCAGUUCAUAUGAUGAAGAAUAUUUUCUUAACUUCCUGUUUUAGAAAUGCACUGUUUUUCUGAGGAUUAAAAAAAUAAAAUAAUGACAUGCCAAGACCAAAACAAGUGGCUGCGUUUCAUGUAAACACUCCUUAUAAACCGCCGAUAUGCUGUCAUAUUAGCCGGUAAUGUACCUUUACGCCUGUGGUCAUUUAAACAAAGACUGCAGUUAUGAACGGGCCGCUGCGGUGUCCCUCCAACAGGAAACAUAUCAGGUACAUUUGACAAGAGAUGCUAGCUGCGUUUCCAUGACAAAUGUGCGCAAAAUUUUUCCCAUAAUUCUAAUAUUCACAAAAAACAUAAUUUCACUUUUGUGGUGUUUCCAUUAACUAAGAAAUGCAAUUAAAAUCACACAGUGACUUGCUUGUGUGACAAGUCACUGAAAACCAUAUUCAUAUUUCACCUCAUCCAGGCACAAAAGCUUUCUAUUGAUCAACGUUUCCAUUCAGAAAAUUUGUUUUCAGGAUUCCAAUUUGUUGAAUUUCAUGGUCAAUGGAAAUGCAGGUACUAUACGGCAGAAAGUGAUGUGUAAAACUUCUAAAAAAUGCAUUGAUAGUUUGAGAUUUCAUUAAAAUGACAUCAGAUAAUUCUCUUGUCAAAUGUGCUUGCAAUAUGCUGUUCUGCAGUACCUGUUUUACAGACCAACUUUGUCCUCUGUUUUUUUAAUUCACUGCCAAUUUGUAAAGAAAUGCCUUGCAAUGUAAACAUUAUUAUUAUUAUAAUGCAAACAUGACGCAUUCAGGGUUCCACAAUUUUUCAUUAGGAAGUAUUUCUUCACUUUGGAUCGCAAGAUCCACAAUAUUCCAUUUAAUCACCUUCACCAGAUGUUCAAAGUUUUACCUGUAUUGUGUCCCUAUUAAGGAAACCUAAGAACUGAUGAAUACCUCAAUAUUUAAUAGAAUGGUCCAGUAAAAUUUUGAAAGCAAAGUCAGAUUUGAAAAUAUUGGUUUAAAUGUUUAAUGUCCGAUAUUUUGUUAAAUCUCCUUUGAUGGUCCAAAUGAAUUUUCUGUUAAGUUAAAUAAGCCAGAAAUAAAUGAACAUUAUAGGUUGUAGUUGGAAGUGACAGAGCUAGCCUUUUAGCUAUUAGUAAAUCAUAAAUUUACCAAUUUAUGAUUGGUAAAUUUUACCAAUCAUAAAUUGGUAAAAUUUAUGAUUUAUUAGAGAAGCAUAUUCUCAUACUUGAGACCUCAAAAGUGUUGGAAGGAAAUGAAAAAGAAAAAUAAAUAAAUUUAAUCCAAUAAUUUUUUUAAAUUAAAUUUUAAAUUGCUUUUUUCUUUGAAAUAUCUUUUUUUUUUUUUUUUUUUUUAUCCAAAACCUGAUUUAUAUUAUUUGUGGACAUGUUAUUUGCCAUGCUUAGCUUUCUGAUUGGCUGCUGGACACUAAUGCAAAAACCAAGAAGUCUGGAUAUGAAACAAAAUUUAAUGUGUGAUUUAUAUAAAAUGUAACAUAUUUUCUAAUAAUUCCAAAAAGAGUAUUGUGCUGGCUUAUUAUCAGGUAGCAAAUUAUGACUUUAUCAAUCUAUUUAUGUCAUAAUACGUUAACUGAUACUAAAAAACGUGUGGCCAGUAAAAAUAAGAAUCGCAGCUUUUAUGCUAAACAAAUGUAAUAAUAAUUGAAUAGUGAAUAAAAGUGAGGAAAAUAAACUGUCUAAAAGUCAACACUUUUUAAAUGUUUUGUAGCGAUUUCUGUGGCUUUUCAUGCUAAUGCUGAUUGGGCAGCCAUGGCAUUAAAAGGUUUUGGAUUCUCUGGUUUUGAAGUCUGUUCUGUCGUUCCUCUUGGAAACAGGCUGCUGAGAGCAUCAGAAGGUUGCUGCUUGUUAAAGCAGGAGAAGAGCAGAGUGGAGGAGAGUGGAUGAGCGAUACACGUGUUAAUUGAGAUGGUAACAUGUUUUGUCAGCAGCACCUGUCAGGUUAACGUUGCUUCAGUAGCUGCGUUUCUAAUACAAAUGUGCACGUAUCUUAGCUAAUGUUGAAAAAACACAAUUUUGCAAUGGCGGUGUUUCGAUUAAAGAAGAAAUAAAAUUAAGAUCAUACAUGAAUAAACUUGUUCACGCAGUAAGUUAUGAAAAAUAAUGGCAGCGACAGAGAUAUAUUCAUAAUUCAUUCAAGGCGCUAGCACUCAUCAUCUAUCAGCCAUUGGAGGAGAUGUCGGUGCGACAAGCCCCACCUACUUUGGAGUGGCUACAUAUAUAGCAUUUUAGGGAAAUUGUAGUCUGUGAUUCUACAUAAGAGUUAUGGAUUGACAAACUUUCUCGUGGAUCCAACUGCACACUGUCUGAAAUAAACAGAAACAGGACAUCCUUUGUCUUCUUCACGGCUUUCACCAGUAGCAACAACCGGCUGGCGAUCACGUGACUCGUAUGAUGCGAAAAAAAUGUUUCCAUUGCAGUUUUUUGAGCUACGUCCACUUUGAUAUGGCCGAAAACCCACCUCAUCCUAGCACAAAAACUUUUUUUAUCGAAAAACGUGAGUUUUUUCAAAAUUUGUGUGUUUCGAUUAUGCAAAUUUAUUUUAGUUCUUUCAAUUAGCGCCAAUUCUAUGGUAAAUGGAAAUGCAGCAAGUGGCAGAGAAGAUGAGGAAAAAAGAACAGGCCAUUAUCCAUCUCAGCAUCACCCUAUUUCCAAUUUCUACUCGUCUGCAGGAAUCAAACACAAGCACAUGCAGGCAUGCUAAUACCGCAGAUUACAGAGUACAAACCAGCCAAAACCCCAUCUUCAAACACUAACCCACAUGCGCACAAAAACACACACACGCACACACACACACACCAUCAGCACACCUACAUCAACAUAUUGGACACAUCUAGCCAUUUAACAGGAUGUCUACGGUCAUAACUGACAGUGUGAUUCUGAAGAAGCGACUGGCACCGUUAAAUAUCUAAUUCCCCUUCACGUCUAGAUGAAAAUAAGGUGCAGAGCUGAUUAGAUUGCUGCCUGCUGUGCCAGCCUUCGGGUUUGUGCUGUGUUCAUUACCAGCCCCAACCUCCAAACCCCCGGCCCCCAACCAAUCCUAUCUCCAUCCAUGUUCACCUGCCAGCUGCAAAUAGUCUCUGAUAGAAAAGAAAUUCUGACACACUUGAGAGUUACGGUCGAUGCCUGAGGAGUGAUGAUAUUAAGUCAAGUAUGAUUUAUUUAGAAAUUGCCACUGAAGCCACACAUGGCGAUUUAACACGCUGUCAGGCUCGAGUGGCUGUGAGAAAUAACUGAAAUUUAGAACUUCAAUUCCAAAGAGUUUUAGUAAAGGUGCUGUCAGUAGAUGCAGAAAGUGAUUCAAAUAUAUUACCCUUAGGACAAAAGUUCGACUUUUUCUCCUUUAAGGUUUUGCUGUGAAAAUUUCACAUGAAAUAUUUUCAAUCUAGAAAGCUUUGUGGAUGUUGGAGAAGUUUAGAUGAAAUAUGAAAAGUACUUUUUGGUGGAGACACAUUAUGCUGUGCUAUAGAUUAAAAUAAUGUUAUCAAGUUAUAUUUAGUUACAUUAGUUUAGUUAUAUUUAGUUACGUUUUAAUCAGUGUUUCAGGAACUAGUGAUCAUUCAUGAAACUUUGCAUUGAGAUGCUAGAUUAGGCUUGAAUAGCUUCACCAAUAUGCUAACUCCUUUUAGCAUAGCUUGAACACACAAUAGCCUUUUUUCAGCAUUUAAUCAGAUUGUUUCUUUAGAUGCAAAAAAA